rnacentral:rRNA from 1 species
AUGAAUUGCAUAAGUUGGAACUGCCGGGGGCUUGGGAACCCCGCGGCAGUUCGAGAGCUUCGCAGCAUAGUGAAGCAAGAAGGUCAUGCCCUUGUGUUUGUCAUGGAAACCAAAAUAAGGGCGAAAAAAGUGGAGAAUCUGCGAAAUACUUUGGGAUUUGCAGGAUGUUUUGCCGUCGAUAGUAACGGUCUCAGCGGUGGUGUGGGACUGUUCUGGUCGAAUGAGGUCUCAGUUGAACUGAAAAAUUACAGUGUGAGCCACAUUGAUAUGGUUGUCACAAAGGCUGGAAUGGAUUCUCCGGGAUGGAGAUUUACUGGUUUCUAUGGAGCUCCAAGAGUGGAAAACCAACAUCAUAGUUGGCGCUUCAUGAGGACUUUAUUCGGCAUCCAACAUCAAGCAUGGAUGUGCGUAGGUGACUUCAACGAAACAUUAUACGGGACGAAACACUUCAGUCGUACUUCACGGCCGGAGUGGCAAAUGUGA